CACAGAGAGAUUUGGUGCUUGACACCAAAAGUCACAAUUUAAUUUGGAGCAGAAGCAGCGUUCCCGGAUUCCUUCAGCCCUCAGAAGACAGAGCUUGGCUUCCCUCUGCGAGAAGAGUUUAAUUAAUUUCUUUUAACGUUGCUGGGGGCGGGGGUGCCUGAGUGGAGAGAAAACGGAGCCGCUCCGUGCAGAAGCGCAGAGACACCGACUCUUCAUGGAGAGGAUGCUUAAAACCCUGGUCUCCACGCUGGUGCUGAUCCUUGCUUUGAAUGGAGCGGUGGACACGAAGGUUUCUCAGCCUGCUGCGCUGUCUUUCCUGGCGGGGGGCAGGGCUGACCUCCCCUGUAACCACAGUGUCGCUGGCUACGAUAAAAUUAUUUGGUACUAUCAGAGCCCCGGAUCUGCCCCUCGAGCUGUGAUCUCUGGCUACAACUCCGCGGAGACGUCGGGGCGGUUUGAACUCUCCAUUGACUCCCCCAGCCGGUCCGCCCCACUGCGCAUCACCGAGGUGGCGGUGCAGGACUCGGGGGUGUAUUACUGCGCCGUGAGAGGCACAGCGAGAGGAAAUGCAGGGCGAGCUGAACAAAAACCUCCCCGAGUCUGAGAGUCCUGGGCAGCAAGAGAAGGGAGCUCAGAUAAUCAAAUUACAGGCUGGGAUCCUCAAAGGGGCCAGGAGAAUGGGCGCAUGGAACUCCAGUGAGCAAUAAGCGCCCAACUCCCUUAGGCUCCUUUGAAAAUCUCUG